AAAAACUAAUGGCUGAGAUUAGACACCGAUCCAUCCAAAGGUCUAUAAAUCUAGGGUUCUUUCUUCUCAACCCUACAUCCUUUGGAGUCUUCAUCUAGGGUUUUUACGAGUUCGCUGUGAAAAGCUCUCUCAUUCUCCAACACACAAACACACACAAAAUGGUUCUUCCAAAUAAUAUCGAUUUGUUGAAUCCACUAGCAGAGCUCGAGAAGAGGAAGCACAAGCUAAAGCGUCUGGUCCAGUCCCCUAAUUCCUUCUUCAUGGAUGUCAAAUGCCAAGGCUGUUUCAACAUAAACUGCCAUACCAUCUUGUGCCAGCUAAUAGGAGGCCAUACGAGGCUCGUCGAGGGAUGUUCUUUCAGGAGAAAGGGUGAUUGAGUGUUCCGAGGGAUGCUCUUUUAGGAGAAAGGGUGACUGAGUGUGCUUCUCUA